AUUGAACGCUGGCGGCAUGCCUUACACAUGCAAGUCGAACGGUAACGGGCCUUCGGGUGCCGACGAGUGGCGAACGGGUGAGUAAUACAUCGGAACGUGCCCGAUCGUGGGGGAUAACGAGGCGAAAGCUUUGCUAAUACCGCAUACGAUCUACGGAUGAAAGCAGGGGACCGCACGGCCUUGCGCGGACGGAGCGGCCGAUGGCCGAUUAGGUAGUUGGUGGGAUAAAAGCUUACCAAGCCGACGAUCUGUAGCUGGUCUGAGAGGAUGAUCAGCCACACUGGGACUGAGACACGGCCCAGACUCCUACGGGAGGCAGCAGUGGGGAAUUUUGGACAAUGGGCGCAAGCCUGAUCCAGCCAUGCCGCGUGCAGGAUGAAGGCCUUCGGGUUGUAAACUGCUUUUGUACGGAACGAAAAGCCUUCUUUUAAUACAGGAGGGUCAUGACGGUACCGUAAGAAUAAGCACCGGCUAACUACGUG
rnacentral:rRNA from 1 species